rnacentral:rRNA from 2 species
UACGUAGGUGGCAAGCGUUGUCCGGAUUUACUGGGCGUAAAGAGCGCGCAGGCGGUCAUUCAAGUCGAGUGUGAAAGCCCCCGGCUCAACUGGGGAGGGUCACUCGAUACUGUUUGACUCGAAGGCGGGAGAGGGAAGUGGAAUUCCCGGUGUAGUGGUGAAAUGCGUAGAUAUCGGGAGGAACACCAGUGGCGAAGGCGACUUCCUGGCCCGUUCUUGACGCUGAGGCGCGAAAGCUAGGGGAGCAAACGGG